AUUGAACGCUGGCGGCAGGCCUAACACAUGCAAGUCGAGCGAGCGGCGGACUGGUGUGUAAUGUAUGGGGAUCUGCCCGAUAGCGGGGGAUAACUACUGGAAACGGUGGCAAAUACCGCAUACUAUCCGAUGAACACAUAUGGGAUUAGCUAUGAGUGGGGGUAAAGGCUCACCUAGGCGACUAUCUCUAGCUGGUCUGAGAGGAUGAUCAGCCACACCGGGACGGAGACACGGCCAAGAAUCCUACGGGAGGCAGCAGUGGGGAAUAUUGCACAGUGGGCGCGAGCCUGAUGCAGCCAUGCCGCGUGUAUGAAGAAGGCCUUCGGGUUGUAAAGUACUUUCAGCGGGGAGGCGUUACCCGCAGUAGAAGCACCGGCUAACUCCGUGCCAGCAGCCGCGGUAAUUC
rnacentral:rRNA from 1 species